rnacentral:rRNA from 1 species
CGCAUAAUGCAGCGGCACCGCAUGGUGACAGCAAUGCUCUACGAGAUCGCAUUUUUCUCGCGCCUAAAGAGGAGCCUGUGGCGGAUUAGCUAGUUGGUAGGGUAACGGCCUACCAAGGCAACGAUCCGUAGCCGGCCUGAGAGGGCGGUCGGCCACACUGACACUGAAAUACGGGUCAGACU